UUUGUUCCAUCCUCCAGAUUCAUGCUUUUUUUCCAAACCAUUAAAGAACAAAAAGAAAAGGUGCACAAUUUACUCAAACCCACAAAAUUAAAAUUAAUUACACCAUAAUCAGGCAAAAGAUUCAAAAUUCUCAAUGUUUAGUGGUCGAUAGUCCGAAGAAUUAACACUGCAUUCCUGAAACACAGAGGAUUAAAAAUUUUGGAUUAUCAUCAAUGAAAUGCACUAAUACAGAACUGAAAUUCUGAUAUUCAAUAAACAGGAUGUUGAUAAAGGUUAUGCUUGCCUGGAAUAACCAGAUUGAUAAGGUGAAAAUUUUGAGGCUUUAAGGUCUGAGCUAAAAGUUGAAGCUUCUACUUUCCAACUCGGGAAGAAAUAAUUGUGAAAAUGCACAAAAUAAAAGGCUUGAUUUCCAAACCAUUAAAAGGAAAUUAAGAAAUUAAUUUAUAUAUUUAAUUUGGGUGAGGGAUUUGAACAGAAAACCCAUUUGUUCCAUCCUCCAGAUUCAUGCUUUUUUUCCAAACCAUUAAAGAACAAAAAGAAAAGGUGCACAAUUUACUCAAACCCACAAAAUUAAAAUUAAUUACACCAUAAUCAGGCAAAAGAUUCAAAAUUCUCAAUGUAAAAACCCAAAUUAAACAUAAAAUUCAAAAUUAACGACGCAACAACCCAAACCUAGAUAUGAACAUUUCAGCAAAACCUAAACCCUAGACAGGCACAAAUGUUCAUUUCUUCAUAGAAAAUUUACAAAAUUUUAAAGAAUGACAACCCCAGCAAAACAAAAUCCAAACAUAUCCAAAAUUAGCAAGAUAGACACAAACCCAAAAGCAAAUCAGCCUCUCAGACUAAGCAAACACGGUAGCAGCCAUACACGCCCAUGGCUCUUUCCAUCUCAGGAGGCCAUGACCGACGACGGAAUAACCAAAAAUACCAAAGAAAACGCAGAUUCCAAACAAACCCAAAUCGAAAUGAACCCUAGAAAUUGAAAAUUUAAAUUGGGGGAGCUCUGAAAUUUUACCUAAAUAGCAACUUAGGAGUUGCCGCAGCACCAUUAAUUCACAACUAAGCCGUAGCCAUAUACAUUCCUCAACAAUCUUUGAAUUUUAAUUAAAACUCAAAAAAUAUUAGUAAAUGGUUAAAGAUAAGUUAUAUAACCGCAGGCAUAUCCAUUCCUCAGCAGUCUUUCAAUUUUAAUUAAAACGCAAAAAAUAAAAAUAAAAAACGGUUAAUGAUAAGUUACACACCUGAUCCAUAAAGCGUUUGCAAACUCCCACAACAAAACCCUAAAAUUGGAAGAUAAAUGUUUCCUGCAACCAAAAAUGAAAUCAAACAAAAGAUCCACACGCAAAUCAGCAAAAAAUGAAGAAAGCAUUUAGCAAGAAUUGAAUUUUACAACAAUCAAUUAAAAAAAAUUCUCAAGAUGAAAUGUUCCAUUAGUCCUAAUAAUAUUAGGUUAUAUAUAUGUAGCAAUAAGAUUACACAAUACAAUAGUUUUGUGUAGAUCCAAAUACAUGUAGGUGCUUCUUUCAUUCAUCUUUUCAGACUUUUCCUUAAUGGCAAUUUUCAUUAAUUGUUUGAGCUCUACUGUACCGUUCUUUGAUCGUUAUCGUUAUAUCAGUUGCUUUCUGGUGUUCAUGUAAGUAAACUCGUAUGAUAUCCCAUGCCAAAAAUCGAAAUUGUAAUGUUAUUGCUCCGGAAGGAUGAAAAGCAAACAAAUCACCAGCAUAUCAUAUAAAUUGCAAAUCUAGAAUACAAACUAUAGAAACAAAGCCAAAUUGUUCAGUAAAAAUUGAUAGACUAUACAUAAAUUACACCAAGACACACACAGAGAUGCAUAGAAUUCUACAAUUUUGCCCCAAAUUAGACCAAAAGGAAGACAAACAGGGGAAAACCCACAUACCUCCUACUACGAAUGAGCCGUAUGAUUCCAGACCGAAAUCCUGAUCUCAUUAGGGCUCAAAACCCGAAAUUUUGGAGAGAGAAUCAAGCAGCUGAAGAGCACUGCUGCAGUUCCAUCAAGUAACACGACCAGUACAGCAAAGCAAGAGGGAAAUAUGGAGUCCUCGCCUUAGGCUCGUGUCCCGUUAACUACAGGCCCCCAUACUUUUCUCUGACUGUCCCCCCUCUCCCACUCAUGAAAUCGAAGAUCUGCAGCAAUGGCGCUGAGAUCCCCAUUCCUCUCUCUUU
rnacentral:lncRNA from 1 species